rnacentral:rRNA from 1 species
UACGGAGGGUGCAAGCGUUGUCCGGAUUUAUUGGGUUUAAAGGGUGCGUAGGCGGCCCGUUAAGUCAGCGGUGAAAGCCCGGGGCUCAACCCCGGAACCGCCGUUGAUACUGGGGGGCUUGAGUAUGGACGAGGUUGGCGGAAUUGAGGGUGUAGCGGUGAAAUGCUUAGAUAUCUUCAAGAACACCGAUUGCGUAGGCAGCUUACUAGGCUGUAACUGACGCUGAGGCACGAAAGCGUGGGGAGCGAACAGG